GCCAAUCUGAAAAGAAGAAAACAUGAGAAUAGAAGAUAUAUGAUUAAAGAAUAUCAGGACAUCACCAAUAGUUAAACAUCUAUCUCGGUAUUCAAUUUGAAUCCAGACUACGCUUACUUGAUUCACUGUACUAGGAUUCAGGCAAAUAUCACGAAAAUUCCUUCUAAUUCCAAGAUUCUGUAAGUCUGGACUCUCUCCUUUCUGCUUGCUGACAACUUUGGCCUAUAAGUCAUGAAUUUAAUGCUAAGAAAUGAAACUUACCUACCCUUCCAAUUGUAAGCCUCAUAUGUGAAGUAAUUGCCUUAUGAAUGAUAAAGAUCCGCAAAGAUGUGAGCUAACAACCUGUGGCCACUGUAACUCCAUGAUGCUAAAACCAUCUUAAGGACUCUGAAUGUCCCGCUUUCUUCCGUCUUCCUAACAAAGGCACUGAGCCACAAUAAAUAUCAACUUGCCAUUAAAAAAAUAAAAAAUAAAAAUGGGCGAUGGAUUAUCAGUGGACUUGUAAAGAAGACAUGUUAGCUGUGAAGUAGAUAAAAUUAGCAUCUUUACAACCCAAUGCAUUUUUAUCCCAGGCACAGAUCAAAAAGUUCAUUAUUUUGUUAUUCUCUACCUAGUUAGAAUUUAUCAGAAAAUUACUUAAGAACUAAUAUGAUAUUGGCAUAUAUGGGUAGAUAAUAUUGAGGUUGUUUAUAGUAUAGACUUGUUUUUAACAAAUUACUCCACUUCUUUCUUGGAUGACUUAGCGCCCAGAUGUCUGAUCAAGACAGAACACAGUGUCUAACCACAGAAAAAUUCUCAGAACCUAAUUCACUUUCUUCUCGUCAACAAUGAAAGAUCUUUGUUUGGAGUCCUCAAUGGAUCCACAAUCAGUAGGUGAAGAAACUGAAGCUCGAAAGGUUAAGCGGCUGCCCAAGAUCAUGGAGCUAAUACACAGCUGACCUGAGAUUCAACUCCAAAUUCCACGAACCAAGUUCAAAUCCAAAGCUGCCCACCCCAUUCCAGAUACAACACCCUUCUCAAUCAUCAUCUCAAUCUGGAUCCCUCUUCCAGUCCUCCCUGUCAAAACACACACCUGCUAAACAGUCAAGCCCUCAGAACUCUGCUGUGUGGGUAAACUGGUAAAAUUAAUCGUGUUAAUAUGUUAUUGGCAGAUAAUAUUUUUAUGCACUACCCUUUCCAGAGAUAAAUUUUUAAAAGGGGAUAGGUGGACAUGAAUUUCUACAAAGACAGAAUUUCAGGUACCAGGGCUACCCCACAGGUACUAAUUUUCAAGAAGGGCCUCUGUGGAUACAUCCGGAAAUAAUUUAGCUGGGGUAAACAACUAGCCAGUAAAAUAAGGGAUUUCCUGGGGCUAUCUUCUUUAUUCCCUGAAAUGGAAUGUGUCCUGCUCACUGAUUAAUAACCACUGUCCAAAAUCUAAAUUUUAAAACACUGGUUAAGAGGAAAGAUUUACAUCACAAAGGUCUGUAUUAUUCCUUCCAAAUUCCAAUAAACCAGAAGUUCUCCUAUUAGCUUGGUCUUUUAACAGAUCAUUAGCUACUUCAUAGGAGGAGGACAGUACAACUUUACAAGGAACAGGAACAGGAAGAUUAAAGGAAACGCAGGUAGACAAAAGCAUCUAAAAUCAUGCAAAAGUGGGGCAUCUGGGAGGCUCCAUCUGUUAAGUCUGACUCUUGAUUUUGGCUCAGGUCACUAUCUCAGGCUGUGAGAUGGAGAUUGAAAUCGAGCCCCUGCAUCAGGCUCAAUGCCUAAAAUUCUCUCUGCCCCUCCCCACAUCUCAAAUACAUAAAUACAUAAAAUCAUGUGAAAAGUUACUGCACAUUAAGAAUCAGGAAUGCAUAUAAGGAUUGACUACUAGAGACACCUGGGUGGCUCAAUUGGCCAGACAUCUGACUCAGUCUCCACUCAGGUCAUGAUCUCAGGGUGUGGGAUCGAGUUCCACCUGGGGCUCUGCACUGAGCAUGGAGACUGCUUAGAAUUUUCUCUCUCGCUCUCCCUCUGCCCCAACUCACACCUACACAGGUACACAUGCACUCUCUUAAAAAAAAACAAACACAAACAAAAACAGUGAUUCCACUAAUAGCUACAUGGUUUCUUUCUAGGGUAAUAAAAAUGUUCUAUAAUUGUGGUAAUGGUUGCACAGCUCCACGACUAUACUACAAAACCAAUGAAUCUGUACACUUUAUUUAUUUAUUUUAAAGAUUUCAUUUAUUUAUUUGAGAGAGAGACAGUGAGAGAGAGCAUGAGCAAGGAGAAGGUGAGAGGGAGAAGCAGACUCCCCGUGGAGUUGGGAGCCCGAUGCGGGACUCUAUCCCAGGACUCCAGGAUCAUGACCUGAGCUGAAGGCAGUUGCUUAACCGACUGAGCCACCCAGGCGCCCAAAUCUGUACACUUUAAAGGAGUAAACUGUAUGGUAUGCAAAUUCUAGCUCAAUAAAGCUGGUGGGUUUUGGUUUGUUUUUUUUUUUUAGAUUUAUUUAUUUUAGAUAGAGAAAGAGCAA